rnacentral:rRNA from 1 species
GUAGGUGGCAAGCGUUGUCCGGAAUUAUUGGGCGUAAAGCGCGCGCAGGCGGUUUUUAAAGUCUGAUGUGAAAGCCCACGGCUCAACCGUGGAGGGUCAUUGGAAACUGGAGAACUUGAGUACAGAAGAGGAAAGCGGAAUUCCACGUGUAGCGGUGAAAUGCGUAGUGAUGUGGAGGAACACCAGUGGCGAAGGCGGCUUUCUGGUCUGUAACUGACGCUGAGGCGCGAAAGCGUGGGGAGCAAACAGGGAUUAGAUACCCUGGUAGUCCACGCCGUAAACGAUGAGUGCUAAGUGUUAGGGGGGUUUCCGCCCCCUUAGUGCUGCAGCUAACGCAUUAAGCACUCCGCCUGGGGAUACGGCCGCAAGGCUG